UAUUUCAGGUAGUUUUGAUGGAUCUGAGUCAGCCUGUGAUCUUGGAAGCUAAACAGUCCUGAGCCCAGCUAGCACUUAGAUGGGAGACCACCUGGGAAUCCUGGGUACUGUAAGCA
rnacentral:rRNA from 1 species